GCGCUAAUAGCUCAGUUGGGAGAGCGUCAGACUGAAGUCAUUUGGUCAUAUCCAUAUCCGGGGUUAUCUGAAGGUCACCCGUUCAAUCCGGGUUUGGCGCA
rfam:Pyronema omphalodes CBS 100304, CBS100304, WGS project CATG01000000 data, contig: Pcon_v1_contig1472